rnacentral:rRNA from 1 species
AACACGUGGGCAACCUGCCCUGUAGAUUGGGAUAACUCCGGGAAACCGGGGCUAAUACCGAAUAAUCCAUUUCCUCACAUGUGGGAAUGUUAAAAGACGGUUUCGGCUGUCACUACAGGAUGGGCCCGCGGCGCAUUAGCUAGUUGGUAGGGUAACGGCCUACCAAGGCGACGAUGCGUAGCCGACCUGAGAGGGUGAUCGGCCACACUGGGACUGAGACACGGCCCAGACUCCUACGGGAGGCAGCAGUAGGGAAUCUUCCACAAUGGACGAAAGUCUGAUGGAGCAAUGCCGCGUGAGUGAAGAAGGUUUUCGGAUCGUAAAACUCUGUUGUGAGGGAAGAACAAGUACGAGAGUAACUGCUCGUACCUUGACGGUACCUCAUUAGAAAGCCACGGCUAACUACGUGCCAGCAGCCGCGGUAAUACGUAGGUGGCAAGCGUUGUCCGGAAUUAUUGGGCGUAAAGCGCGCGCAGGCGGUCCUUUAAGUCUGAUGUGAAAGCCCACGGCUCAACCGUGGAAGGUCAUUGGAAACUGGGGGACUUGAGUACAGAAGAGGAAAGCGGAAUUCCAAGUGUAGCGGUGAAAUGCGUAGAGAUUUGGAGG